rnacentral:rRNA from 1 species
UACAGAGGUCUCGAGCGUUAAUCGGAGUCACUGGGCUUAAAGGGUGCGUAGGCGGACUCGCAAGUGCUUUGUGAAAUCCCACGGCUCAACCGUGGAAUUGCUCGGCAGACUGCGGGUCUUGAGGUCGGUAGGGGCCGCCGGAACUCUAGGUGGAGCGGUGAAAUGCGUAGAUAUCUAGAGGAACGCCAAAGGUGAAGACAGGCGGCUGGGCCGAUUCUGACGCUGAGGCACGAAAGCGUGGGGAGCGAACGGG